rnacentral:antisense_RNA from 1 species
CUUGACCGACCCGAGCCACAACGGCCGCCCGGCCGGGCGGUCCUGACCGUACGUCGCCAGCAGCGCCUGCGCCUC